AAUAAAGUUGUGUGGCCACCGCUGAGUCCUCCGUCGCACCGAUCCGCCCAAGCCUAGGGAUUACCUAUACAAAUAAAUCAAAAGGGUGAGUUUACGAAAACUUAGUGUGUAAUCCCCAUAUAAAGCAAGCAGACAAAAUGCAGUCACAGUUUGGGCUUAAGCCCUUUCAGUACAAGAUUCAGUUUCAGUUAGGGCCUUAGCCCAAUUUAGUACAAAAGCAGUUAUGCAUUAGGGCAUUGGGCCAUUACAUAACAAUAAUUAGUACAGUAAUAGAAAUACUGUCACAAAAUCCUACCCAGACAGCCUCUACACACCAUCUCCGUCCAACCCUACACUCCAUGUGAGGAUAUAAUCAACCCACCCAUCACUACACUCUAAAAAGUAUUGAAUGUGGCACUAAACAGUGGUUUGAAGCUGAGCUGUCAGUAAAUUAGGCCCGAGGCCUUUCAGUUUACUUCCUCCGAACAAUACCAACCCCCAACCCAAUGCAAUUCAAUAUACAAAUAUGACAUGCUAUACAUAAUAUCAUGCAUGUAAACCAGCAUACAGUAUCAAAUUAUUGGGACAUCAUCAUGCUUAAUCAUAUAAGUCAUACAGUCAUUUCAGUCAAUUAGGGGUCUAGGUAAGCUUACCGACCCUAUAGUAGGUCAAUAGUUGUCUUGGGAUACCCGUGCAAUCUUAACAAUUAAACAGUAAAAAUGGGCCUACAAGCCCAUGAUGUUCGCUUGUGUGGCCAACAUGGCCCAAAUUGGCCUUGAUCGGGUAGCUCACAUGGCCUGGCCCAAAAAUCCCACACCCUUGUGUGAUUCACCCAUGUAGGCCCACACGCUUGUGUGACCCACAUGGCCCAAUUCGAUUCGGCUCAUGUAUCGCACAUAGCCAGCCUCGUCGAUCGCACACCGGUGUGGCAUCGAUAGCCUCACUUUAUGGCUUUUCAUUGAUUUCCAUUUAUGGUGUUGAGGUUACACACCUGUAACAUUUUUUACACAAAAGUAACUCCAAGCAAUCCCGAACCUAUAAUUGACCAAAAUACCACUCAGUUAAUCACUUAACCGAUGAAUUAAAACCAACCUGAACGGGUUACUCAACUAUUGACCGAUUGAAACUUACCCCCAACGCUUCAAAUUGAUUUGCUUAUGUAGUAGUACCAGAAGAGUUUCGAUCCUAGUGACAUAAUGCUACCCAAACAUCAGAAUAACUCCUAGUCAGAAACUUAACAUUCUCAACUACAAAUCACACAAAAUCACGUACUGAAGUUGUCCACGAAACACCAAAAUAGGGAACAAAAGUGCGAAUGCAGUCGAGAUGGAAGCAAAAUCGAAAGAAAAAAUAGGAAGAGAAGGGUAGAUUUCGACAAAAGAGAGAUGAAAAUCCUAAUGGAAAAAUCGGUAGAGUUUUUGGAGAGAAACAAACGUCACAAAGAUGAGUACUUACCGAUCGCAGUUAAUCGAGGAAUGAUACGAGACCAAGUAGAAAGAAGUUGAGGAGAAAUAGAAUGAGAGUGCAGAGUAAUUUCGGCAGUAAGGAAAAAUAAUGGACAAGGAAAACGGCAGCAAAAAGGAGAAGAGGAGAAGAGAAAACCAAAAAUUUUAUUUUUAGGGAAAAUAAAAGGGAAAAAAGAUAUGAACAAAAUUAUUCGAUAAGAACCCUGAUAACCCCAAAAUCCCUUAAUUCAUCCCUAAAUUUUCUCCAUCAAACUUCCACUACCCAAUUGGGAUAAUUUGAAACUCAUCCAUCCCUGAUUUUUCUCCCCAAAUCACUCCAACAGCUCCCAAAAUCGUCCACCACUUCCUCUCAACUACCAAAUUUAAAUUCCACUCAAACACUUUAACAUUUCGGCUAAACCAAAACACCCACACGGCACAAGCAGUAAAAUAAAUCCCAUUUGCACAAAUAAGAGUUCGAACUUCAGACCUCCUGCUCGUUUGCUCUCCACUUAACCACCAGACCAGCAUGCCCAUUCUGACAUAUUUUACCAACAUUUAAUUAUAAGCCUACUGACUAGUGAUAAGGCUUUGUUCAGAAAAAUACAAAAAUUUUCCCAAGGCAGGGCUUGAACUUAAGACCUCACACACAUACCAAAGCACUUAACCACUAAAACAGAUACACAGUUGUGUCAUAAAUACACGUAAACAAAUAUACAAACUUUGAGGCGUUACAAUAAUCAUACCUAAGAUAAAAGAAUAUUGCUUCAUACAAAUCCAUGGAGGCAAAUUGUAAGGAACAAGUACUACAGGCUAAGUACUGUACGAAGUACUCAUGAUUUUAAAAUGAUUAAAUUCAUUAUAUGCUAGCCCAAGCCUCACAUUCCGAGGAUCACUUGCAAAGCUUUGAAAUUUACUGUCAAAUGAUUUCCAAGCUAAAGAAUCCGCAGGAUGCCUUAAUAAUUCAUCACCGAUUCGUUGAUCAUGAUGCCACCUCAUAGACUCGGUUAUUUUUGACGACAUGAAAAGCCUUUGAAGUCUUGGUAUUAGUGGAAAAUAUCGCAAAAUCUUUACUGCCUUCUUUCUUGAUUAUGCCUCACCUUCAUCCUCAUUCACAUCUUCUGCAUUCCUAUUCAUCCAAUGAGAUAUACCGCAAACAUAAAAAGACUGUUGGUUUUUCCAAUCACCCCAACACAAUAUACAGUCAUUUGGGCAAAUAUGAAAUUUGUCAUACCCAAUGCCUAAAUCCUUUAUCAGUUUCUUCAUAUCUUUGCAUGAAUGAAGGAUUUUUGCAAACAGAAACAUAUCUCUCAAAAACUCUAACAGCCGCAUAAAAGAGUUUUUGGUCCACCCUCCCAAACAUUUUAAGUGAAAAAGACGAAUGCAGAAGGAUAGUUUUGAAAAUUUCAAUCCCUCAUAAAGUUCUUCAUUCAUUUCAUUAAGUAACUUAUAGAACUUCACCGCUUCUCCAUUUGGCUCUUCAUCAGGUGCACUUCUUCCUGUUUUGGUAAAAGCAUUUCCAUCAAUAUCACAAUAAUUGGAUGCAAUAAUUUCAGGUGGAAACGAUUGCAAACCAUGACUGUGCAUAUUAAAUACAUCCUGCAACAUACCUUCUAUGUCAUAUUCUCUAAUAGACUGAUGGUAAGCAUUAUGAGGAUAAACCAGAUUAAUCGUUUAAGAGGUUCUACUAGGUGUACACUCUCUAUGGAGAAUCCAUUUUUAUACCCUCGAAUAAAGCCAUCAACAAUUAGAUGUUCGUAGACAACUUCACGAAAAUGUCAAUUGAUGUUGCCAUACUUCUUACAUGGGCAAAGAAUCAUGUUCUCUUGGCUUGCAUUUUGAAAUGCAAAAUUUAGAAAAGUUUGUACUCUAUUUCGAUAGUCGUUGCUUACCCUUGACAAAUCCAUUCAACUCUUAUCCAUUUCGUAGUUCUUGAAGUCUAAAGUUGACAAUAAAUUAUGGUUACUUAAGUGUUCUAAAUAGGUUUAAAUCAUGUCAUUGUACUAAAAUAAAUAAUAUAAUAUCAAGUAUCUAAUUAUUUAAAAAAUAUAUAUUAGUGACAACAUUUUUUAUAUUCUCUAAAUGUUAGAAAUUACAUUUUUUUUAUGUUCUUUAAAUGUUUAUGUAAGUUAUGAUAAUCAUUAACUUUUAUUCUUAUUUUUCCUUUUAUUCAUUUACUAAAUUUUUUAAAUCUGGUUUGGAGAUGGUAUAAAUGGAACCAAGUUAUGUAAAAUCUUGCACAAACUAUUAUUUUAUCAUAACAACACUAUUUGAGCUUCCAUCAAUCAAUAUAUUGAUAAUAAUUUCUUUUGAAGUUAAAAACUUGUUGUCUGUUUUAUUUAUUUAGUUUUAAAUUUUUAAAAAAUGGAUUAAAUAUUGCAACCAUUUCUUAUGUUUAUGGCUUUAAAAAUUGGCCUCAACUUUUGCUUCGUUUUCAUCAUUGCCAAUACAUGAUAUUAAUAAAUAAAACUUAAAUUCAACUCUGAAAAAAAUACAUGCAGUUACUGUUCAUGUAACUAACAUGAUAUGGUUAACUGAAUAGAGUAGUGUAAAUUAAUUAAUUAUUCAUAAAAUAAAUUUAUUAUGUUAAAUUAAAAAAAUUAAAAUAAAAUAAAUAAAAAGUAAUUGAACAUUUAAAAUACAAAAAAGAAAUUUCAUGUCAUCUUCCACAUGUGGAUCAUACAUUGAUUAUUUUUAUCAUCUUAUAAAAAAUAAACCUUAUAGUAUAUUGAUGUAAUUUGUAUAAUGUUUGAUAAAUUUAAAUAUCAAAUUAGAAAAAAAAAUUAAGUACCAAAUUGAAAAAAUAUAAAAUUCAAUUAUUAAAAAAAGUAUAGAUUGACUAAAUGAACUCAUUUUUCAUUAAGUGAUAAGUCACCCAUCAUUAUGUACUUAUCUUUUCAAUAGCUUUUCAUUGGAAAAGGGUCUGUGAAAAAUAAUUAAACCAAAAAUUAAUCAUGGGGAACAGUUUCGUUAAUUUUUUAAAAGUUAAAAACUAUAUGAUUAUUAUGAAAUGUGAUAUAUGAUAUAUGAUUGUUUAAUUAAUUAAUUUUAUAUAUCAUAAAAUUAUUAUGAAAUAUGAUUAUUUAUUUAUUUAAUCAGAAAUUAAUUAAUUAUUCAUAAAAUUAUUUAAAUAUAAAACAUGUAUUUAGUUAGUAGAGAGAAAAACUAGAAUUUGGGAAUGCUUGGAUUGAGAUGGGGAAAAUAAUAUAUACAUUUUGGUAAGUUAAAAGGAAAAUGUAGGAGUGGUUAAUAACUAACCAAACCAAGUGAUGCCUAACUUUGGAUGGAAGUGUCCAACAGGAAAUCUUGGUCAAGGAGAAGCUAUUUAUGUACAUACAAUAAUAUUGUCAACUAUACUAAUAUUCUACUACUGGUAGCGAUAUUAAUUAAGAGGGUAGAACAAGUUGAAAGCAUAAAAAAUUAAAGAGACAGAGAGGCGAAGGUAACAUAGUCGCUAGUAAAAAACGAAAAGAAAGUAAGUAGUCAUAAAUAGGGGUGAGCAUUCGAUCGAAUAGAAUCGAAUCGAAAAUUUUCGAGUUAAUCAAGUUUUCGAAUCUCAUUUUAUCAUCCUAACUUUAUUUGAAGUUUUCUCGAAUCGAGUCGAGUGAGAUGAAAUUCGAAUCGAAUAUAUUUGUUCGAGUUAAAUUUUAAAAAAUAUUUUUGGGUCCUUGUAACCACUGUCACCCACCUUAAUCAAAAUUUUUAUUAACUUUCAUCACCUCAUAAUUUAUUUAUUAAUUUUUUAUAUAUUGGUUAGCUUCUUUGCUUGCUUAGUUGUUUCAAUUAUCUUCAGAUUCUUGUCACUAUGUAUUUUGGAAUUAAAAAAUAUAUUAAAUGUAAAAAUAUGAUUUUUUUAAUAAAAGUUAUUUUAAAAAUAAAAUGUGAAAUUGAUACCAAUAUAAAAUUUUAACACGAAUAUUUUAUGGCAUAAUUAAUAAUUCAAUUUUAAUAUAAAUAUCCAAUAUGACUAAACAAUUCAAUAAUAUAAAUAAUAUAAAUAAUAUAAAAUGUGAAAUUUAAUUUAAUAAUAUAAAUUGUAGAUAUAAAUAAAAUUAUUACUAUUUAUGUUUAGUGAAUUUUUUUUAGAUAAUUUUGAUUUUUUAUUUGAGGGUAAAGGGUGAGAAGUAAAAGUUUAGGGGGAAAAUAAAAAGUUUUGGAGAAUAAAAGUUUGAGGGAAAGUAAAUAGGAGAAGUAAAAUUUUGGAGGAAAAAUAUUAAAAAAAAAUUGGAGGAAAAAAUAAAUGGGAGAGUAAAAUUUUGGUGGGAAAUGGAUUUUGGGUAGAUUGGGGGGGGGUUGGGAGGGGAGUAAAAGUUUUGGGGGGAAAGUGGGAAGGAGUAAAAGUUUUGAGGGAAAAGUAAAAAGGUUUAGGAGUUUGGGGUAAAAAUGUAAAAUAUUAUAGUUUGAUAUUCAAAUUAUUCGAAUUAUUCGAGUUAUUCGAAUUUGAAAACUCAACUCGAUUCGAACUCGAUUUGAACUCGAAAUUCGAAAAAAAAUUCGAGUUGAUUCGAAUAACUCGAUUCGUUUAACUCGAAAUUCAAAUUUUUUUUCUGAUUUUUUCGAGUCGAAUCGAGUUUUGCUCACCCCUAGUCAUAAAGAAACUAACAGCACCAGAAAAAAAAAACUACUGCAAGAACUGUCUACCUGUGUUUCAGUAAUCGACUUCCUUACAAGUUUCAGUAUAAACUAAGAACUACAAAUAUCUUACUCUUGUUUCAAUAUAAACAAAGAAAAAAAUGAGAUUAAAACUACAUGAAAAUGACCAAAUUCACAUGCAUUCAAUAAACUAAUUAAUAUUGUAAAAUAGUUGAUUAGAUUUCUUAAGCAUCAUUUCAACUUUCAACCUUAUAAAACAGUGUUGAAAGAACUUGAAAAGAAAUCUGACCUAAUUCAAUUUCACAUAUAAUAAAAAAUUUUAAGAUAAAAAAAAAUCCAAUUAGCUGUGAACAUAUAAGAACUAAAUUCACAACUUAUACAGAAAUAAUAACAAAAUUUUAACCUACAAACAAUGAUUUCAUGCUCAAUUCACGGCUCUAAAAUAUGAACAAUUCUUCAAUGAAUACAACUGUAAAUUAUGCACAUAUAGACUACUAGGAACCCAAAAAUGUCGCUAAACCCCAGAUAUAGUCUAGGUGAAAAGGGACCGAGGCGUUGAAUAGUAAAGAAACUAGUAAGAACUCACAUGAUAAUGAGCUUGUUGUAACCAAAAUACAAAGAUUGGGGCAUAGUCAAGUUUCCAAUUUCUAUAGGCAUAAUUCCCUCCAAAGAGUUGUCAUGCAAUGAUAAAUACAUCUACUCUUUACACUUGAAUAAGCUAUUUGAAAUUCUAGUGAAAUUUGAUUAUGUGUCAAGCUUAAUAAUUGCAAUUUAGAAAUGUUAUCAAACAUCUUGAUAGUAGAUGGCCUGUAACGAGAUGACUAGUUUUGAAACUAUUUUUUAUUGGUGAAAAUAUAUUUAAGAUUUACACAUGUAAGGAACCUGAAUAAGAAUUCUUAUGAAAAUAAAAGCAAAUGAAAGCUUGAAAAGUUCCCAACUAUUAUAGGAAUUUGCCAUUCUAAAUCAUUGUCAUAUAAUAUCAACUGUUAUAAGAAAUGAUAUUAUACUUGUUAUGUUGUUAUUAGAAAGAUUUAUGAUCUCGAGAGUAGUCAAAUUGUUAAUAGCCGAAAGACUUUCACCUAAAAUAUAUAAUAAAAUUUGUCAAAAUAGCUUUAUGAUAGAACCCAUGCACUUUGUCUUUUUUUUUUGUAAUUAGAUAGAGAAGUCAUCUACUCUGUUCCUCUUAUAUUGAACUAAUGGCUGAAAACAAUUUUAGAUUGUUUUCUCACGAAUACUAACUUAUAUUUUUUACUUAUCUUUAGAUUGUGUUUAUUGUUAUUACCUUCUUCACUAAUACUCAUCAUCAUCAUGUUUCUUGUUAAGUCAAUCUCUAAGUUUUGAAAUAUAUAAAACAAUCAAUGGUGACCAUCAAUAUAUCACCCAAAAUCUCAAAAUCAUUACUUCGAUUAAUUCAAGCCGAGAACAAACAACAAAAUUUCAUAAACAAAACUCUCUGCCUUAACAAACAAAAUAACAAACAAAAUAUUUUAAUUAUUUUCUAAUAAAAUUUCCUAAUAAAAUUUCUGCCUGCCAUUUAUGCAGCAAAACCUAUUGAAACAAAACUUUGUUUUAAUCAUCAAUGGCCAACAAAUGCAACAAUAGAGUUCACAUUCUUUCCAAUGUAGAGAUAAAAAGCUAACAUCGGUCACAAAGUUCAACUAAAACAAAAUUAAUAAAACAACAAAAUAACUUAAAUAGAACCAUUCGUUUAUUUUUCUUUAUUUCCUUCUUGUUUACCAGCAACCAAGCACAGCACCAAUUAACAAACAAAAAAUGAAAAAUCAAAACAUAAAGCGAAAUUAAUCAAAUAAAAAAGGUGUGCAUGAGGGAGAGAAUAAUUGGUUACCAGCUAGGAAUGGAAGCAAUGCAGGUUGGAGAAAGCAAUGAAAACCUUGAAAACCUCGCCGAUCUAGAAAAACAUAUUGAUUACAGAAGAGAAGUAAGUUGAUGAAAAUCCUGAACGCCAGAAAAAAAAAGAAACAAACAAGAAUUAGCAAUUACCUCAAAUAGAGAACAAGGAACAAAUGAGAUGAUAUAUAUCUCAGUACCAAAAGCAAUCACCAAUCUUUAUCUUCUUCAACAAAAUAUCAAUUUUGCACAUAUAUCGGGGAGGGUGAACUAAUUUGGGGAAAAGAAAUUCGAAAAAAAGAGAAAGGGAUUUCGGAAAAAAUUAGGGAUUUCGCAGAGGGGGAAUUAAUUUGGGGAAAAGAAAUUGGGGAAAAAAGAAAGGGGUCUGGGAAAGAAACUUAGAGAUUUUGGGCAGAAGGGGAAUUGAUUGUGGGAAAAAAAUUGGGAAAAAAAAGAAAGGGGUUUGGGAAAAAAACUUAAGGAUUUCGGGGAGAGGGGGAAUUGAUU
rnacentral:lncRNA from 1 species